rnacentral:rRNA from 1 species
UUGUAGGCGGCUUCGUAAGUUGGGCGUGAAAGCUCCGGGCUUAACCCGGAGAGGCCGUCCAAUACUGCGGAGCUCGAGGGUGCCAGAGGAAGGUGGAAUUCCUGGUGUAGCGGUGAAAUGCGUAGAUAUCAGGAGGACACCCGUGGCGAAGGCGGCUUUCUGGGGCAUUCCUGACGCUGAGAAGCGAAAGCUAGGGGAGCAAACAGGAUUAGAUACCCUGGUAGUCCUAGCCGUAAACGAUGGAUGCUAGGUGUUGGCGGCAAAAACCCGUCAGUGCCGAAGCUAACGCGUUAAGCAUCCCGCCUGGGGAGUACGGCCGCAAGGCUAAAACUCAAAGGAAUUGACGGGGACCCGCACAAGCAGCGGAGCGUGUGGUUUAAUUCGAUGCUACACGAAGAACCUUACCCAGGCUUGACAUGCAGGUAGAGUGAGCCGAAAGGGGAACGCCCGCAAGGGAGCCUGCACAGGUGUUGCAUGGCUGUCGUCAACUCGUGUCGUGAGAUGUUGGCUUAAGUGCCCUAACGAGCGCAACCCUUGUUGCCAGUUACACGUGUCUGGCGGGACUGCCGGUCACAAGCCGGAGGAAGGCGGGGACGACGUCAAGUCAGCAUGGCCUUUAUGCCUGGGGCUACACACACGCUACAAUCGGACGUACAAUGGGUAGCCAAGCCGCGAGGCGGAGCCAAUCCUCAAAACGUCCCUCAGUUCAGAUUGCAGGCUGCAACCC